rnacentral:ncRNA from 2 species
CGAGACUUGUCGGGGUGCCCUCACCAGGGCUGAGAUCGGUGACCGCCGAACCCGUUGAACCUGAUCAGGUUGAUGCCUGCGGAGGGAACAAGCUCAUGCUUACC